UGAAAAUGUGGAGUGUAAAAAGUCAUAAGGC
rnacentral:piRNA from 1 species